UGCAGCCCUGUCAAAUUCGGUCCCUGCCUCCUCCGUGGCGGGGACCGGCCAACCGGCUGCCACAGCAACUUCUGUGGUCUGUUGGCCCCACGUCCCCUUCCUGUGGGACACUGGGGGAUAAAAUCAUGCCACGGACACGU
ensembl:snoRNA small nucleolar RNA SNORA5